rnacentral:tRNA from 1 species
AAGAUAAAGCUAGUAUAGCUCAAUUGGUAGAGCAGCUGAUUUGUAAUCAGCAGGUUAUGGGUUCAAGUCCCUUUA